rnacentral:rRNA from 1 species
GAUGAACGCUAGCGGCAGGCCUAAUACAUGCAAGUCGAACGGUGUAGCAAUACACAGUGGCGCACGGGUGCGUAACACGUAUGCAACCUACCUUACAUUGGGGGAUAGCCUUUCGAAAGGGAGAUUAAUACCGCAUAAGACAGUAACUAGGCAUCUAGUAGCUGUUAAAGAUUUAUCGAUGUAAGAUGGGCAUGCGUCCAAUUAGUUAGUUGGCGAGGUAAUGGCUCACCAAGACGAUGAUUGGUAAGGGAACUGAGAUGUCAAUCCCCCAAACUGGGACUGAGAUACGGGCCAGACUCCUACGGGAGGAAGCAGUAGGGAAUAUUGGGCAAGGUGCGCAAGCCUGACCCAGCCAUGCCGCGUGCAGGAAGAAGGCGUUAUGCGUUGUAAACUGCUUUUAUACAGGAAGAAACGACCCUUGCGAGGGGCAUUGACGGUACUGUAUGAAUAAGCACCGGCUAACUCCGUGCCAGCCGCCGCUGUAAUAC